CCUGAGCUUCUCAAUUCUCUACUGUGAAGUAAGCCACGCCCGCCAAACCACAAGGAGAGGCACUAAUUAAUCAAAAAUAAAAUACUUUAAGAAAUGUAACUGGAAAAUAGCAAACGGUUCCAGCAACCAGAGGCUAAGAAACAGGGAUCAAGGAAAUUGAACUUCUUGGCGGCAAGAAGCUUUACUUGUUGAGCCAUCUCACCAACCUGAGAGUCAUUAAG